GUUGACCUCAUCAGAGGCACGCCAUUCGACUGAGUGACCUAUCAGCUUGUACUUAGGGUCUUUACCUAGGUAGGCUAUCACGGGUAACGGGCGGUUACCGUCGGACUGCCGGAGAAGGCGCGUGAGAGAUAGCGACUAUAUCCACGGGUAGCAGCAGGCGCGAAACUUUCCCACUCGAGACUUUCGGAGGAGGUAAUGACCAGUUCCAUUGGUGCCUUUUGGUACUGUGGAUAGGGGUACGGUUUUCCACCGUACCGAAACCUAGCAGAGGGCCAGUCUGGUGCCAGCAGCUGCGGUAAUUCCAGCUCUGCGAGUUUGCUCCCAUAUUGUUGCAGUUAAAACGCCCGUAGUCUGAAUUGGCCAGCAAUGGUCGUACGUAUUUUUACGUUCACUGUGAACAAAUCAGGACGCUUAGAGUAUGGCCACAUGAAUGACUCAGCGCAGUAUGAAGUCUUUGUUUUCUUCCGAAAACAAGCUCAAUGAGAGCCAUCGGGGGUAGAUCUAUCUCAUGACGAGUGGUGGAAUACUUUGACUCAUGAGAGAGAAGCUGAGGCGAAGGCGUCUACCUAGAGGGUUUCUGUCGAUCAAGGGCGAGAGUAGGAGUAUCCAACAGGAUUAGAGACCCUGGUAGUUCCUACCUUAAACGAUGCCGACAGGAGUUUGUCAUUUGUUAAUGGCAGAAUCUUUGGAGAAAUCAUAGUUCUUGGGCUCUGGGGGAACUACGACCGCAAGGCUGAAACUUGAAGGAAUUGACGGAAGGGCACACCAGGGGUGGAGCCUGUGGCUUAAUUUGAAUCAACACGGGGAAACUUACCAGGACCAGAUGUUUUUUAUGACUGACAGGCUUCGGGUCUUUCAGGAUAUUGUUUUUGGUGGUGCAUGGCCGUUGGUGGUGCGUGGGUUGACCUGUCUAGCGUUGAUUCAGCUAACGAGCGAG
rnacentral:ncRNA from 2 species